CCGGUUCCCGGGCCUUGUACACACCGCCCGUCACACCACGAAAGUCGGUAACACCCGAAGCCAGUGGCCCAACCGUAAGGAGGGAGCUGUCGAAGGUGGGAUCGGUGAUUGGGGUG
rnacentral:rRNA from 1 species